GACGAACGCUGGCGGCGUGCUUAACACAUGCAAGUCGAACGGAAAGGCCCUGCUUUUGUGGGGUGCUCGAGUGGCGAACGGGUGAGUAACACGUGAGUAACCUUGCCUUGACUUUGGGAUAACUUCAGGAAACUGGGGCUAAUACCGGAUAGGAGCUCCUGCUGCAUGGUGGGGGUUGGAAAGUUUAGGUGGUGGGGGAUGGAUGGUGGGCUUAUCAGCUUGUUGGUUGGGGAGUGGCUUACCAAGGCUUUGGCGGGUAGCCGGCCUGAGAGGGUAAACGGCGACAUUGGUACUGCGAUACGGCGCAGACGCCUACAGGAGGCAGCAGGGGGGAAUAUUGCACAAUGGGGGGAAGCCUGAGGCAGAAAUCCUGCGUUCGGGAUGACGGCCUUCGGGUUGUAAACCGCUUUAGCCUGUGACGAAGCGGGAUUGACGGUACUGGGUAAAGAAGCACCGGCUAACUACGUG
rnacentral:rRNA from 1 species